CUUCUUUGUCAUUAAGCAGAAGCGCGCCGGCCCCUUUUGUCUUCAAUUAGUUUCUCUGAAGAGCACAGAGACAUCUUUAAGAGAGGGGUUUAAAUAAUGACCCUUCAUCAGGCAGGGGGAGUCCAAGGGGAGGAUAAGAAAAACAACUUUACUGGGCUCGCUUUGAACAUGCAGCGGUAGAGAGGUGAGUCAGCAUAACAGAUGGCUGCGAAGAUCACGGGGACAAGAUGGCGCAGCUUAUUGAAGGACGGGGGAGGCAAAAGCGACGAGGCUCAGGGAAGUUAAGAACGGUCAUUAAACUCCUCAGCCCACUUCUUCCUGGUGGUGGCGUUGGUGGAGCCAUCCAGACGAUAGUAGUCAAUGUUCCUGUACCACUUGCCCUCACCUUCACAGACACACAAGAGUGAAGAGACGUGCUAUUCAAUGUCAUCGUCAAACUGCCGAGGAACCUUCGACAACAUGUCACCAUCAACUCGGCCGUUUCUUGUCAAAGAGGACCUGGUGUGGGUGUGAGCACAUGGACGGUCACGGUGGAUGGAGGCCCUCUGUAUGUAACCUUCAAGAUGGCCACCCCCUCGCUAGCCUUCACAAGCAGCACUUCAGCAUGUUUCCAAUUAGAGUACUGUGAUCUUUUCAUUACAAAUUACAAACCCUUGAGCAAACAUUUUGGGUGGAAUAAAAAGUCAAGGUCUAAUCAUUUUCAAAAUGAAAGUAAAAACAGCUGCUGCAGUUUAAUUAGGAACAUGACCUUACACUAGUGGCCCCCGUGUUUGGAUGUAUGCGACUAUGUGUGCACACUUGAGGCUAAAAUGCGUGGACAACAUUUGCUACGUGUGGGCUUGCUUCAAGAAAUACACGAAAAAACAUUACCCAAAAGAUGAAUGAAUUUUGGGACACACAACAAAGCCCAUCAAUGUCCAUAAAAAUCAGUAGCCGCUUUUCCACUAUUAAAAAGAGCUACUUGGUAGGUUGAACACAUAAGUACAGCAUUCCAAAACCUUUAGUAGGAAGCUCCUGAUCACAGGCAAAGACAGGAUAGGAUCAUUCAGUGGAGUCAUUAGCAACCUAACGGGAGAGCCAAAUGAGAUCUUGAAUAAAAGAACGUGGGAUGGAAGUAUACAGCCUACCUUUGUACGGUGAGAUCUUGUCUUCAUCUGCAGCUCUGGAAGACAACUCCAGGAAAUCCUCAAUCAGGUCCAACGAGAUAAGGGACUGACUAAACACCAACCUGUGGAUGGGCACAAAGAUUCCUUGGUGUCACUUUACUUUCCAAAACCCUAUCCCAUUACACUACAAACCAGCUACACUCAAACAGCACAUUCCAGAGAUGUGUGCAGAUAUCUUCAGAGUGCAGAUAUACUUACACUUUAUCUUCCACUUCCUCUGCCAUGCGCAGGAUCUCAAAGAGGAUGGUGAUUUUUCCAGAGUGUUCUAUGAUUUCAGCAUCGGCCUCGGUGACAAACUCCUUGUGCCAGUCGGCGGUGGGACUCCCUGGUGCCGAGCCAGAGGGUUC